rnacentral:rRNA from 2 species
ACGCUGGCGGCGUGCCUAAUACAUGCAAGUCGAACGCACAGCGAAAGGUGCUUGCACCUUUCAAGUGAGUGGCGAACGGGUGAGUAACACGUGGACAACCUGCCUCAAGGCUGGGGAUAACAUUUGGAAACAGAUGCUAAUACCGAAUAAAACUUAGUGUCGCAUGACACAAAGUUAAAAGGCGCUUCGGCGUCACCUAGAGAUGGAUCCGCGGUGCAUUAGUUAGUUGGUGGGGUAAAGGCCUACCAAGACAAUGAUGCAUAGCCGAGUUGAGAGACUGAUCGGCCACAUUGGGACUGAGACACGGCCCAAACUCCUACGGGAGGCUGCAGUAGGGAAUCUUCCACAAUGGGCGAAAGCCUGAUGGAGCAACGCCGCGUGUGUGAUGAAGGCUUUCGGGUCGUAAAGCACUGUUGUAUGGGAAGAACAGCUAGAAUAGGAAAUGAUUUUAGUUUGACGGUACCAUACCAGAAAGGGACGGCUAAAUACGUGCCAGCAGCCGCGGUAAUACGUAUGUCCCGAGCGUUAUCCGGAUUUAUUGGGCGUAAAGCGAGCGCAGACGGUUUAUUAAGUCUGAUGUGAAAGCCCGGAGCUCAACUCCGGAAUGGCAUUGGAAACUGGUUAACUUGAGUGCAGUAGAGGUAAGUGGAACUCCAUGUGUAGCGGUGGAAUGCGUAGAUAUAUGGAAGAACACCAGUGGCGAAGGCGGCUUACUGGACUGCAACUGACGUUGAGGCUCGAAAGUGUGGGUAGCAAACAGGAUUAGAUACCCUGGUAGUCCACACCGUAAACGAUGAACACUAGGUGUUAGGAGGUUUCCGCCUCUUAGUGCCGAAGCUAACGCAUUAAGUGUUCCGCCUGGGGAGUACGACCGCAAGGUUGAAACUCAAAGGAAUUGACGGGGACCCGCACAAGCGGUGGAGCAUGUGGUUUAAUUCGAAGCAACGCGAAGAACCUUACCAGGUCUUGACAUCCUUUGAAGCUUUUAGAGAUAGAAGUGUUCUCUUCGGAGACAAAGUGACAGGUGGUGCAUGGUCGUCGUCAGCUCGUGUCGUGAGAUGUUGGGUUAAGUCCCGCAACGAGCGCAACCCUUAUUGUUAGUUGCCAGCAUUCAGAUGGGCACUCUAGCGAGACUGCCGGUGACAAACCGGAGGAAGGCGGGGACGACGUCAGAUCAUCAUGCCCCUUAUGACCUGGGCUACACACGUGCUACAAUGGCGUAUACAACGAGUUGCCAACCCGCGAGGGUGAGCUAAUCUCUUAAAGUACGUCUCAGUUCGGAUUGUAGUCUGCAACUCGACUACAUGAAGUCGGAAUCGCUAGUAAUCGCGGAUCAGCACGCCGCGGUGAAUACGUUCCCGGGUCUUGUACACACCGCCCGUCACACCAUGGGAGUUUGUAAUGCCCAAAGCCGGUGGCCUAACCUUUUAGGAAGGAGCCGUCUAAGGCAGGACAGAUGACUGGGG